UAUUACACCGUCCUGUGCGGGUGAGACCCUGCGUUCAGGUUCGAGCCGAGCGAAGCGAGACAACAACGCACAACGUUGACCCGAAGGGCGAGUCCAGAGGACGAGUCAUCCCGCACGACCCACCA
rnacentral:sRNA from 1 species